UGGGGAAUAUGACAAUGGGCGCAAGCCUGAUCCAGCCAUGCCGCGUGAGUGAUGAAGGCCUUAGGGUUGUAAAGCUCUUUCGCCGGUGAAGAUAAUGACGGUAACCGGAGAAGAAGCCCCGGCUAACUUCGUGCCAGCAGCCGCGGUAAUACGAAGGGGGCUAGCGUUGCUCGGAAUCACCGGGCGUAAAGCGCACGGUAGGCGGAUCGUUAAGUCAGGGGGUGAAAAUCCUGGAGCUCAACUCCAGAACUGCCCUUGAUACUGGCGAUCUCGAGUUCGAGAGAGGUUGGUGGAACUCCGAGUGUAGAGGUGAAAUUCGUAGAUAUUCGGAAGAACACCAGUGGCGAAGGCGGCCAACUGGCUCGAUACUGACGCUGAGGUGCGAAAGCGUGGGGAGCAAAACAGGAUUAGAUACCCUGGUAGUCCACGCCGUAAACGAUGGAUGCUAGCCGUUGGGGGGUUUACCUCUCAGUGGCGCAGCUAACGCCUUAAGCAUCCCGCCUGGGGAGUACGGUCGCAAGAUUAAAACUCAAAUGAAUUGACGGGGUCAUAGCUGUUUCUU
rnacentral:rRNA from 1 species